rnacentral:rRNA from 1 species
CCUACGGGAGGCAGCAGUGGGGAAUCUUCCGCAAUGGGCGAAAGCCUGACGGAGCAACGCCGCGUGAGCGAAGAAGGUUUUCGGAUUGUAAAGCUCUGUGAUAUUGGACGAACAAUUUCCCGUAAAUAAUGGGAAAGAAUGACGGUACAAUAAGAGGAAGCCACGGCUAACUACGUGCCAGCAGCCGCGGUAAUACGUAGGUGGCAAACGUUGUCCGGAAUUACUGGGCGUAAAGGGCGAGUAGGUGGUUUAUUAAGUCAGAAGUGAAAACUCCAGGCUCAACUUGGAGACUGCUCCUGAAACUGGUAGACUUGAGUGCAAGAGAGGGAAGUGGAAUUCCUAGUGUAGCGGUGAAAUGCGUAGAUAUUAGGAGGAACACCAGUGGCGAAGGCGACUUCCUGGCUUGUAACUGACACUGAGGCGCGAAAGCGUGGGGAUCAAACAGGAUUAGAUACCCUGGUAGUC